rnacentral:rRNA from 1 species
UGAGCUCGAUGAGUAGGGCGGGACACGUGGUAUCCUGUCUGAAUAUGGGGGGACCAUCCUCCAAGGCUAAAUACUCCUGACUGACCGAUAGUGAACCAGUACCGUGAGGGAAAGGCGAAAAGAACCCCGGCGAGGGGAGUGAAAAAGAACCUGAAACCGUGUACGUACAAGCAGUGGGAGCCUCUUUUAUGGGGUGACUGCGUACCUUUUGUAUAAUGGGUCAGCGACUUAUAUUCUGUAGCAAGGUUAACCGAAUAGGGGAGCCGAAGGGAAACCGAGUCUUAACUGGGCGUUAAGUUGCAGGGUAUAGACCCGAAACCCGGUGAUCUAGCCAUGGGCAGGUUGAAGGUUGGGUAACACUAACUGGAGGACCGAACCGACUAAUGUUGAAAAAUUAGCGGAUGACUUGUGGCUGGGGGUGAAAGGCCAAUCAAACCGGGAGAUAGCUGGUUCUCCCCGAAAGCUAUUUAGGUAGCGCCUCGUGAAUUCAUCUCCGGGGGUAGAGCACUGUUUCGGCAAGGGGGUCAUCCCGACUUACCAACCCGAUGCAAACUGCGAAUACCGGAGAAUGUUAUCACGGGAGACACACGGCGGGUGCUAACGUCCGUCGUGAAGAGGGAAACAACCCAGACCGCCAGCUAAGGUCCCAAAGUCAUGGUUAAGUGGGAAACGAUGUGGGAAGGCCCAGACAGCCAGGAUGUUGGCUUAGAAGCAGCCAUCAUUUAAAGAAAGCGUAAUAGCUCACUGGUCGAGUCGGCCUGCGCGGAAGAUGUAACGGGGCUAAACCAUGCAC